rfam:Echinococcus multilocularis genomic scaffold, pathogen_EmW_scaffold_04
UGACCUCGGAUCGGUGGUGGGUACCCGCUGAACUUAAGCAUAUCAAUAAGCGGAGGAGAAGAAACCAACCAGGAUUACCUCAGUAACGGCGAGUGAAGAGGGAGAAGCCCAGCACCGAAGCCUGCGGCAGGGUUGUCGUUAGGCCGUGUGGUGUGUGGGUUGGCUGGCGGGACCGCCGCUCCGCUCCAAGUCUAGCAUUGAGUAUGGUAAUGAGUGAACUUGGCCCAUGGAGGGUGAUGGGCCCGUAGGAGUGGAGGCUCAGGCAGGUGAGGAGGUUCACCAGGCCGGCUCAGGAGUCGGGUUGUUUGAGAUUGCAGCCCAAAGUGGGUGGUAAACUCCAUCCAAGGCUAAAUACAGGCACGAGUCCGAUAGCGGACAAGUACCGUGAGGGAAAGUUGAAAAGUACUCUGAAGAGAGAGUAAAGAGUGCGUAAACCGCGUGCAGGUAAGCGGGUGGCGUCAAGCUGCUAGCCGGGAGGACUCAGCUGGCUGCAGUGUAGUGUGCGCGCCUAUUGCGUCGCCGUUAAUGGGCCGGGGAGAGGCGGUGGUCUGCUCCUUGUGGGGGAGCGGAGCAUGACUGAUCGCGGGUCACUGUGACUCCUUCGCCGCGCCGCUGUUUGUUCCGACUGCCCGUCUGCCUGUCCAUUGUCUGCCCUGCUGUGGGUGGGCUGGUGGUUGGAUGGGUGGGUGCGUGAAUGUGCGGAGGCCUAGUGGAGUGAGUAGUCGGUGGUGCUGAGGUUGCAGUCUGUGCUAUGCGUGCCGGAGGGGCGCCAGAGCAUGCCACUCGUCUGUGGGCCUUGCAGUCAGUGCACUUUCUCCGUGGCGAACACCACGACCGGUGGGAUUGCCAGUCUGCCGUGGUCAAGUCGUGCUCGCCUGGCGGUACUCCUCCUGCUCGCUCAAUUGGCCAGUUGGUUGGCUUCACGGCUGACUGGCUGGCUGGCUGACCGACUGGCGGAUGGAUAGAUGGAUCAGGUGGGAACAAUCGCGGAUAGGUGAGUGAACGGCGCAGUGGUGCCCCGGUGCUGCUGCGUGAUAUCGUGUGCUUCCUAUCAACGAGCUGCUGUUGUGUUGUGCUGUGACUGCACUGUUGGUGGCUUGGCGGGCUGCGGUGGUGUGGGUGACUGUCUGCCGACGUGGGGCGUGCUGUCGCGCUGCCUGCAAUGUGCGGGUUUGCCGAUGGUCCGUCGUCGCGUGUUGUGAUGGGCGGCUCUGCGUUGCCUCGGGUGCGUGAGGUACCGGGGGUGGAACAGUCCGUGGUGCUGUGGUAGAUUAGCCACCUGGCCCGUCUUGAAACACGGACCAAGGAGUUUAACAUGUGUGCGAGUCAAAGGGUGUGCGCGAAGCCCCGAGGCGUAGUGAAAGUGAAGUCUGCGUCCUACGCGCGCGGUGUGAUGCGGCGAGGUGAGAUCCUGCUGUCGGCGUGCGGCCGGCCAGGCCAGGCUAGUGCAGGCGGCCUAUCAAGCAGUGGGCGCAUCACCGGCCCGUCCCAUGGUGUGGUCACUGGUGUGCGUUGGCGUGGUCGCGUGUGUGGCUGCGUCAGCUAGGCAGCCAGUGCGUCAUCAGGGCGGAGCGUGAGCAUGCAUGUUGAGACCCGAAAGAUGGUGAACUAUGCUUGCGUAGGUUGAAGCCAGAGGAAACUCUGGUGGAGGACCGUAGCGAUUCUGACGUGCAAAUCGAUCGUCAAACGUGAGUAUAGGGGCGAAAGACUAAUCGAACCGUCUAGUAGCUGGUUCCCUCCGAAGUUUCCCUCAGGAUAGAUGACACUCAUUAGUAUAAUCAGUUUUAUCCGGUAAAGCGAAUGACUAGAGGUGCUGGGCUCGAAAAGAGCUCAACCUAUUCUCAAACUUUCAAUGGGUGAGAUGUCCAACUCGCUUCAGACGCGUGUGUUGCAGCGGGUGGAGUUGGGCGUUGAAUGUGCGGGUGCCAAGUGGGCCAUUUUUGGUAAGCAGAACUGGCGCUGUGGGAUGAACCAAACACCCGGUUAAGGUGCCUAACGCUGACGCUCAUGAGAUACCACAAAAGGUGUUGGUUAAUAUAGACAGCAGGACGGUGGCCAUGGAAGUCGGCAUCCGCUAAGGAGUGUGUAACAACUCACCUGCCGAAUUGACCAGCCCUGAAAAUGGAUGGCGCUGGAGCGUCGGACCUACACCGGGCCGUCAUCGCAAGCUGGAUUGGUGACUGCGCGUGUUUGCGUCGUAGUCCAGGCGUGGAGUGCGAUGCUGAGUAGGGGGGUCGCCGUGGUGAGCAUGGAAGCUGCAGACGUGAGUCGUGGUGGAGCCGCCACGGGUGCAGAUCUUGGUGGUAGUAGCAAGUAUUCAAGUGAGAACCUUGAAGGCCGAGGCGGAGAAGGGUUCCAUGGGAACAGCAGUUGGCCAUGGGUCAGGCGGUCCUAAGUGAUCCGGUGACUCGGUGCAGAGUCGUGGGGUGCCUUGCAUGAGUACGUGCGUGCGCGCAUAGGCGUGGUGUUGUAUGUUGGCAGCCCCCCAGAGCGAAAGGGA